AUUGAACGCUGGCGGAAUGCUUUACACAUGCAAGUCGAACGGCAGCACGGGGGCAACCCUGGUGGCGAGUGGCGAACGGGUGAGUAACACAUCGGAACGUGCCCAGUCGUGGGGGAUAACGUAGCGAAAGCUACGCUAAUACCGCAUACGAUCUACGGAUGAAAGCGGGGGAUCGCAAGACCUCGCGCGAUUGGAGCGGCCGAUGGCAGAUUAGGUAGUUGGUGGGGUAAAGGCUCACCAAGCCGACGAUCUGUAGCUGGUCUGAGAGGACGACCAGCCACACUGGGACUGAGACACGGCCCAGACUCCUACGGGAGGCAGCAGUGGGGAAUUUUGGACAAUGGGCGCAAGCCUGAUCCAGCCAUUCCGCGUGCAGGAUGAAGGCC
rnacentral:rRNA from 1 species